UACGAAGGGGGCUAGCGUUGUUCGGAAUUACUGGGCGUAAAGCGCACGUAGGCGGAUUUGUAAGUCAGGGGUGAAAUCCCGGGGCUCAACCUCGGAACUGCCUUUGAUACUGCAAGUCUCGAGUCCGAUAGAGGUGAGUGGAAUUCCUAGUGUAGAGGUGAAAUUCGUAGAUAUUCGGAGGAACACCAGUGGCGAAGGCGGCUCACUGGCUCGACACUGACGCUGAGGUGCGAAAGCGUGGGGAGCAAACAGG
rnacentral:rRNA from 1 species